rnacentral:rRNA from 1 species
AUUGAACGCUGGCGGCAGGCCUAACACAUGCAAGUCGAGCGGAGCGGCGGACGGGUGCGUAAUGCCUAGGAAUCUGCCUGGUCGUGGGGGAUAACGUUCGGUACCGGGCGCUAAUACCGCAUCCUCUCAGAUGAGCCUAGGUCUGAUUAGCUAGUUGGUGGGGUAAAGGUCUACCAAGGCGACGAUCCGUAGCUGGUCUGAGAGGAUGAUCAGUCACACUGGAACUGAGACACGGUCCAGACUCCUACGGGAGGCAGCAGUGGGGAAUAUUGGACAAUGGGCGAAAGCCUGAUACAGCCAUGCCGCGUGUGUGAAGAAGGUCUUCGGAUUGUAAAGCACUUUAAGUUGGGAGGCGUUACCAACAGAAUAAGCACCGGCUAACUUCGUGCCAGCAGCCGCGGUAAUUC